rnacentral:rRNA from 1 species
UAAACUGGGAUUAGAUACCCCACUAUGCUUAGCCCUAAACUACAAUAAUUUAAUAACAAAAUUAUUUGCCUGAGAACUACUGGCCACCGCUUAAAACUCAAAGGACUUGGCGGUACUUUACAUCCAUCUAGAGGAGCCUGUUCUAUAAUCGAUAAACCCCGUUAUACCUUACCAUUCCUUGCUAAUUCAGCCUAUAUACCGCCAUCUUCAGCAAACCUUAAAAAAGAACAACAGUAAGCAAGAGAAUUACCAUAAAAACGUUAGGUCAAGGUGUAGCCUAUGGAAUGGGAAGUAAUGGGCUACAUUUUCUAAGUAAGAACAUUACGAAACCCUUUAUGAAAUCUAAAGGACAAAGGAGGAUUUAGUAGUAAAUUAAGAAUAGAGUGCUUAAUUGAAUAGAGCAAUGAAGUACGUACACACCGCCCGUCACCCUCCUCAAAUUAAAUGAACACAAUACAAAUACAUAAUAAAAUUAACAAGUUUAUGAGAGGAGACAAGUCGUAACAAGGUAAGCAUACUGGAAAGUGA